UAAAAUGCACUGUUAAAGCACCACUUCUGACUUUAUUUCUAUCCCUUAUGGCUUUAUCCCUUUCGUUAAGCUAUUUUCUAACCUCACAUCGACACCGAUACGCUAUAUCCAAAACAAAAACCCACCUUGAAUUCCUUUGAAAAAAUUCAAUCUCCAAGCUCUGAUCUGAUCUCAUGAUUCCAUUUCCCAUUUUCAGUUCCCCAACCACUUCACUCUUCUAACACAUAAAAGAAUUCCAUUUACGAAUAUGCGACAAUUAUUGUCUCCCACCACCUCGUACCCAUCUCUACUUUUCCCUCUAAGUUCCCAUCCUGUCUCUCGAAAACACCAAUUUUGUCUAAGAGACAGCUUGAGCUUCUAUACCCCACCAAAAAUGGCUUCUUUUUCUGGGUUUUUAGCUAAGUCCCAGAUGGAAAUGACUGCUGUUGCUGGUGAUACAAAUGGGUUUUCUACACUGAUGGAGUAUGUUGGGAAGGGAGGACUAGAUGUGGGAGAUGAUUUAGUAGUUUUGCUUUAUCAUAUCCAAUAUGCUUGCAAGAGAAUUGCUGCUCUUGUGGCUUCUCCUUUUAACUCUGCUCUCGGGAAACAUUCAGGUCUUACUGGUGGGACAUCCGGGGCUGGUGCUUCUGAUAGGGAUAAGCCAAAGCCGCUUGAUAUUGUGGCAAAUGAAAUCAUCUUGUCCUCUCUUAGAAAUUCAGGAAAAGUUUCAGUCAUGGCUUCAGAAGAAGAUGAUGUACCAAUUUGGAUCAAUGAUGAUGGCACAUUUGUGGUGGUAUUGGAUCCCCUUGAUGGUUCUCGAAAUAUAGAUGCUUCCAUUCCCACUGGAACAAUUUUUGGGAUAUAUAAGCGGCUUGUGGAGCUAGAUCAUCUACCCACAGAGGAGAAGGCAUCACUGAAUUCGCUACAGAGUGGGGCAAAGCUUGUAGCUGCUGGCUAUGUCCUCUAUUCAUCUGCCACAAUUCUGUGUGCUAGCUUUGGCUCAGGAACACAUGCAUUUACAUUAGAUCAUUCAACAGGAGACUUUAUUCUCACACAUCCAAGCAUUAGAAUUCCUCCUCGAGGUCAAAUAUACUCUGUCAAUGAUGCACGGUAUUUUGACUGGCCUGAAGGUCUAAGACUAUACAUUGACACUAUGAGACAAGGCAAAGGCAAAUAUCCCAAGAAAUAUUCAGCACGGUAUAUAUGUUCGUUGGUUGCUGAUUUCCACAGGACUCUCUUGUAUGGUGGAAUAGCAAUGAAUCCAAGGGACCAUCUGCGCCUGGUGUACGAGGCAAAUCCUCUCAGUUUUCUUGCGGAGCAAGCUGGAGGCAAAGGAUCCAAUGGUAAAAGUAGGAUUCUUUCAAUCCAACCAGUCAAACUGCAUCAAAGAUUGCCUCUCUUUUUGGGUAGUUUGGAGGAUAUAGAUGAGUUGGAAAGUUAUAGAGAUGUUCAACAGAAAGUAAACCCUGGGUAUGAAGUUUAACGACUUUGUUCUUUUGAACAGAUUGAUAUGGUAUAAAACCAGCUCUUCUCUGCUCUGCUGCUCUGUUUCUUGAGUUUUAUGCGUUGAGAUUAUAAUUGAAACUAAGAUCCGUUCAUCCAAUCCAAUGUAAGAGGAGGGGAACGGGAUUAUAAUCAUAGGUUAAAUAUUCCAUGAAGAGGUUGCUCAAAGUUUUCUUAAACAAAUUUUCUGGCUGCUUAACCUCUGGCCUUUGACUGAUUGGCUUCCUCACCACUCAUCAGUUAAAAGAUGAAAGAUUCAUAUCCAAGAAAAGAUACUAAAAUUCAGGAACACUGUAAAAGCAAAAUGUGCUGUUAUUACAAAAUCAAUUUGUCAGCCAGCUAAGGCUAAAUGUGAAAGCCAAGAGUGACAAAGAUUUGGCAGUGUCCUAACAAGUUUUAGAUUUGGUUGUUGUAAGUUCCUACCCAAUUCUAAAAAGAACAAAACAAACUAAACGCAACCACGUAAUAAGCAAGCAAUCUCAUAUUACGACUAGUAUUUUUCAUUUUUAAUGGUUCAUCCUUAAAAUUCUUUUUUGGUAAAAAUGUACUACUACUACUAAUAUUUGCAUAUAAUUCUUAAAUUAAUAAAGUAGCUAAUUG